UUGCUGUUAGUGACUCUUGUCGACAUCACGGUCUACAUUCGGGAAAAUCUAAGGGGGCAUGAUUCUACCAAUCACAUUUACAGCUUGAGAACCUUUGUAUUUUGUUAAAUACUCGCUGAUAUUGAAAUCCGCCUAAGCCCUUUAAGAACAUUCUCAACGUAGACGCUUGAAUAGUUUCUCUUGACCGUAUCUCACUCCUCUAGGAAUCUAACGUUCUAACAAGGGAGUUUAGUUCGGUUAAGCUAAAUUGAACGGGCGGUCUUAGCCUUCACCUCUCGCGUGGGAUUUUUUCUUCUUUUUGGAGCAGAUCUAUUUUCUUUGAAAGGUCUGGUGAAGAGAUUUAAGGUCGUUGUAGUUAGCUGCGCAGUUCAGUAUGAGAUAGGCGAGAAAAACCUUCCCGACAGAGGGUUCUCAUGGACGGAUGGAUGAUAAUUCAUGUGGCAUUUGCUCAUUUGCAGUCUGGAUAAAAAUACCGCUGCGCUGCUAUAGUGACGAGAAAACAACAGGGCAAUAAUUGUGUCCAAUACAUUGUGUCCAAUGUAUUCAGUUCGAAUUCCAUGCAUUUCAAGGCUGACUGAAUCAUCCCCGAGUUCUUAAGUGUGCAUAGAAAUUCGUCUUGCUGGCUCACUGUUACAAAGUGAAGGAUUCCUCAGCUUCCUGAGAUCAAGCACAGCGCAUGCUCACAAGUUAAAAUUCGUAGUUGAAAUAGAGACCAAGAAGGAACAGUUGUCAAAAAACUGAUUUCAUCCACGUCAGCCCAAUGUGUAGGGAGCGUGUCAUUCUCUGAGACCGUUACACUAGGUUGAACUCAUAAGUUUUAAAACAGCUAAUCUUGCUCAAAACAAUUUAUUUGAUAAGACCGCAAUGAAGCAAUUAGAAGGAUUUAUUUCAUGUUUUAUGAAAAAAUUGAUCACAGUACAAAUGUUGAAGUAGAAUAACUCCUUGACAAAAUAUUUCUAACGUGCCGCACUUUGGCCUACUCGGGGCUUUGAAUUUCCGAUUGUGAUGACAAGAAGGGUUGAUGCUAUGAUUACAAGCGUAGUGGGACUAUUAUAACUUUCACUUUCUAUUGAAACAUAUCUUAAGUCUGUAAAGUUUUCAAAUGUUGGAGUCUUGAAAAGGUUUGCGUCUGAUCCUUAAUUUUAAAAGAUCGUGAUAUCUGUUCGAUUUUUUGAAUGAUGCUAUAGUGAGACAUCAAAUGAAAAGGGUCUUGAUCUUAACCUCUUAAAACUGCAUGUUUGUUCGAAUUGAUAAUUGGUGCUAUGAUUCUUACAGGACAACGAGCUCAUGUCUCUUUCAGUAAAUAUAAACAUGAUUCGCUCUUCGCUAUGUACGUUUGGUUAUUUUUUCAUCGCAAAUAUACAUUGAAUCAAUGAUUUUUAAUGAUUAUCAUUUCCUAGUCAGCAAGCCUUGCUGCUUGAUGGAGGACAAAUUGUGUAUCUUGUCUUAAAUUCGGAAAUAAAACUCCACAAGUUUGAAUGUUUUCUCACAACAAUGGGUAAGAGCGAUUUUGGUUACAUUUUGUUCAUCUACGUCAUUUCCGGAAUGUUUCUGUAGAUGCGAAAUUCAGCAAAAAUGAAGGUGUUACUCAAAUUUUGGAAAUCAUAUUCUAGACAGGGCUUCUGAUAGGGUGCGGCAAAAAAUGGGAGUUUCUGCGGCAUUUUCAAGGGAAAUUAUGCGACAAAAAAGGUCUAUUAUGCAGCAAAUUAUGCGAUUUUUCAAAAAGCUGAUUUAACAUUGUUUUUUAAG